UACGUAGGGGGCUAGCGUUGUCCGGAUUUAUUGGGCGUAAAGAGCGUGUAGGCGGCCAGGUAGGUCUGGUGUGAAAACUCGAGGCUUAACCUCGAGAUGUCAUCGGAAACCAUCUGGCUAGAGUCCGGAAGAGGAGAGUGGAAUUCCUGGUGUAGCGGUGAAAUGCGCAGAUAUCAGGAAGAACACCCGUGGCGAAGGCGGCUCUCUGGGACGGUACUGACGCUGAGACGCGAAAAGCGUGGGGAGCGAACAGG
rnacentral:rRNA from 1 species